rnacentral:rRNA from 1 species
AACGAACGCUGGCGGCAGGCUUAACACAUGCAAGUCGAGCGCCCCGCAAGGGGAGCGGCAGACGGGAGAGUAACGCGUGGGAAUCUACCCAUCUCUACGGAAUAACGCAUGGAAACGUGUGCUAAUACCGGAUACGUCCUUCGGGAGAAAGAUUUAUCGGAGAUGGAUGAGCCCGCGUUGGAUUAGCUAGUUGGUGGGGUAAAGGCCUACCAAGGCGACGAUCCAUAGCUGGUCUGAGAGGAUGGUCAGCCACACUGGGACUGAGACACGGCCCAGACUCCUACGGGAGGCAGCAGUGGGGAAUAUUGGACAAUGGGCGCAAGCCUGAUCCAGCCAUGCCGCGUGAGUGAUGAAGGCCCUAGGGUUGUAAAGCUCUUUCACCGGUGAAGAUAAUGACGGUAACCGGAGAAGAAGCCCCGGCUAACUUCGUGCCAGCAGCCGCCGUAAAAC